UGUCAUUGUGCACGGACAGGCUGGGAAGUUCAGCCUCAUCCCCACCAUUAUAAACCUGGCCACAGCGCUGACAUCCGUGGGGGUGGGCUCCUUCCUCUGCGACUGGAUCUUAUUGACCUUCAUGAAUAAGAACGACGUGUACAGCACCCGGAAGUUUGACCAGGUAUCCAGGUGCCCGGAAGGAACUCCGUCAACGGAACUCAGCACCACCGACUCCUGCACGCGGGCCUCCUCUCCCAUAGACCCAAAGAUCCCCGUCCAUCUCUGAGGCUCACCCC